rnacentral:rRNA from 1 species
AUUGAACGCUGGCGGCAUGCUUUACACAUGCGAGUCGAACGGUAACAGGCCUUCGGGUGCUGACGAGUGGCGCACGGGUGAGUAAUGCAUCGGAACGUGCCCAGAGGUGGGGGAUAACGCAGCGAAAGCCGUGCUAAUACCGCAUGUGAUCUGAGGAUGAAAGCGGGGGACCAGGCAGCAAUGUUUGGCCUCGCGCCUUUGGAGCGGCCGAUGUCAGAUUAGGUAGUUGGUGGGGUAAAGGCCUACCAAGCCGACGAUCUGUAGCUGGUCUGAGAGGACGACCAGCCACACUGGGACUGAGACACGGCCCAGACUCCUACGGGAGGCAGCAGUGGGGAAUUUUGGACAAUGGGCGCAAGCCUGAUCCAGCAAUGCCGCGUGCGGGAAGAAGGCCUUCGGGUUGUAAACCGCUUUUGUACGGAACGAAAAGGCUCUGGCUAAUACCUGGGGCUGAUGACGGUACCGUAAGAAUAAGCACCGGCUAACUACGU